CAUGCAAGUCGAGCGAUACUUUUUUCUUGAGAUGGUGAAGCCGUAAGGCUGAUCUGUCGAGGGAAAAAAGAUAUAGCGGCAGACUGGUGAGUAACACGUGAGUAAUUUACCUUUAAGUCGGGGAUAGCCUUGCGAAAGUGAGGGUAAUACCUGAUGUGUUUACGGUUGCAUAAGCAACUGUAAGUAAAGAAGGCUCGCAAGAGUUUUUGUUUAGAGAUGAGCUCGCGUCCUAUCAGCUAGUUGGUGGGGUAAUGGCCUACCAAGGCGUUUGACGGGUAGCUGGCCUGAGAGGGUGGUCAGCCACAUGGGGACUGAGACACUGCCCCAACUCCUACGGGAGGCUGCAGUCGAGGAUAUUUAGCAAUGGACGAAAGUCUGACUAUGUGACGCCGCGUGAGGGAUGAAGGUCUUCGGAUUGUAAACCUCUUUCGAUAGGGAAGAAAACCUGUUCUUAACGGAGCAGACUGACGGUACCUAGAGAAGAAGCCACGGCCAACUCUGUGCCAGCAGCCGCGGUAAUACAGAGGUGGCAAGCGUUACUCGGAUUUAUUGGGUGUAAAGGGCAAGUAGGCGUCUUAACAAGUUAGGAGUGAAAUCCUGCAGCUCAACUGCAGAACUGCUUUUAAAACUGUUAAGAUUGAGACUGGAAGAGGAAAGCGGAAUUCUCGGUGUAAGAGUGAAAUCUGUAGAUAUCGAGAGGAACACCAGUGGCGAAGGCGGCUUUCUGGUCCAGUACUGACGCUGAAUUGCGAAAGCUAGGGGAGCAAACAGGAUUAGAUACCCUGGUAGUCCUAGCCGUAAACGAUGAGCACUAGGUGUUGGGGGGUUUACCCUUAGCGCCGUAAGUUAACACGUUAAGUGCUCCACCUGGGGACUACGACCGCAAGGUUAAAACUCAAGGAAUUGACGGGGGCCCGCACAGCGGUGGAACAUGUGGUUCAAUUCGACGCUACGCGAAGACCUCACCAGGGCUGACA
rnacentral:rRNA from 1 species